AAUCGGUUUCCGAUCCAUCUGCUUCUUGAGGAAGCGCAUCGAUACAUCGCGGAGAAGCCAUCCCGCUAUGCCAUAGACGCCAGCAGAGUUUACGAGCGGAUUGCCAAGGAAGGGCGAAAGUACGGGCUGUUCAUUCUCGCCGCUUCGCAGAGGCCCAGUGAACUCUCGAAGACCAUUCUUUCGCAGUGCUCGAAUUUCGUCAUCCAUCGAAUCCAGAAUCCCGACGACCUUGCUCAUAUACGGCAGAUGACCCCGUUCAUCUC
rnacentral:misc_RNA from 1 species